rnacentral:rRNA from 1 species
GACGAACGCUGGCGGCGUGCCUAAUACAUGCAAGUAGAACGCUGAAGGAGGAGCUUGCUUCUCUGGAUGAGUUGCGAACGGGUGAGUAACGCGUAGGUAACCUGCCUGGUAGCGGGGGAUAACUAUUGGAAACGAUAGCUAAUACCGCAUAAGAGUAGAUGUCGCAUGACAUUUGCUUAAAAGGUGCAAUUGCAUCACUACCAGAUGGACCUGCGUUGUAUUAGCUAGUUGGUGAGGUAACGGCUCACCAAGGCAACGAUACAUAGCCGACCUGAGAGGGUGAUCGGCCACACUGGGACUGAGACACGGCCCAGACUCCUACGGGAGGCAGCAGUAGGGAAUGUUCGGCAAUGGACGGAAGUCUGACCGAGCAACGCCGCGUGAGUGAAGAAGGUUUUCGGAUCGUAAAGCUCUGUUGUAAGAGAAGAACGAGUGUGAGAGUGGAAAGUUCACACUGUGACGGUAUCUGACCAGAAAGGGACGGCUAACUACGUG